rnacentral:rRNA from 1 species
UACGUAGGGGGGCAAGCGUUGUCCGGAAUCAUUGGGCGUAAAGCGCGUGUAGGCGGCUCGAUAAGUCUGCUGUGAAAGUCCAGGGCUCAACCCUGGGAUGCCGGUGGAUACUGUCGAGCUCGAGUCCGGAAGAGGCGAGUGGAAUUCCUGGUGUAGCGGUGAAAUGCGCAGAUAUCAGGAGGAACACCAAUGGCGAAGGCAGCUCGCUGGGACGGUACUGACGCUGAGGCGCGAAAGCGUGGGGAGCAAACAGG